rnacentral:rRNA from 1 species
CUACGUGCCAGCAGCCGCGGUAAUACGGAGGGUGCGAGCGUUAAUCGGAAUAACUGGGCGUAAAGGGCACGCAGGCGGUUAUUUAAGUGAGGUGUGUAAGCCCCGGGCUUAACCUGGGAAUUGCAUUUCAGACUGGGUAACUAGAGUACUUUAGGGAGGGGUAGAAUUCCACGUGUAGCGGUGAAAUGCGUAGAGAUGUGGAGGAAUACCGAAGGCGAAGGCAGCCCCUUGGGAAUGUACUGACGCUCAUGUGCGAAAGCGUGGGGAGCAAACAGGAUUAGAUACCCUGGUAGUCCACGCUGUAAACGAUGUCGAUUUGGGGGUUGAACUUUAAGUUUGGCGCCCGUAGCUAACGUGAUAAAUCGACCGCCUGGGGAGUACGGCCGCAAGGUUAAAACUCAAAUGAAUUGACGGGGGCCCGCACAAGCGGUGGAGCAUGUGGUUUAAUUCGAUGCAACGCGAAGAACCUUACCUACUCUUGACAUCCAGA